UGAAUAUUAUUGGUUUCAUUUUGGUUGUAGGAUCUGGUUUGGACUUUUUAAUCUUCUUUUAUACUACAGUAAUUCUAACAUUCAUAUAGAGUUUUCUGCCCUUCCAAAGAUGGAAUUUUGAACACAUCUAGUUUGAAUCUUGGGUGCUUAGCAAUAUAAUUAAUAUUAGCCUGCACAUUUAGUUUGGUUCUGGGCCGGUAUCAGUGCGCGUGCUUUCGCCGCGUCUGCGCGUGCCCGCAGCCUGUAGGAGAUCCAGAAACAGAGCCAAAGAUCAUCAUCAUCAUCAUCCUCCUCAUCAUCCUCCUCCUCCUCCUCCUCAUCAUCCCGGAGGAGAGGCCCAUUGAAUGCAUGCCCGACACGCCUUACCCGGAACGCAAAGAUGAGUUUACGCGUCUGAUCUCAACCGUGUGCUGUGUUCGAUUCGGGGAUUUGAGAGCAGAUCCGGAGGUUCGGCCGCCCGUCGGUUCGAUGCGAGACUACACCAACAUGCGCGUGUGUGACUGAGGUGCAUGCAUCCGACCAGGACACGGACUCUAGGAACCGAGUCAAGCCGUGGAGCAGACGACUUGCAGCUCACGGGUUCACCGAUCAUCAUCAUCCGCUACAUGUGACCGAACCGAACCGUCCGAACCCAUCGGCAGCUUCACCAGCGAGCUGCGCUUUAGCACGGCAGGACAAAAAAGUAUGGCUCCCCAUCUGGACGCGGCUCGCAAAUUGUUCUGGAUCUUAAUGAAGUCGCUGCUCCGUUUCACCUUCAUGUUUGUCAAUAACUGUGUUGCGAUCCCGUCCUACUGCCUCUACCUGAUAGCCCUUCAGCCGUUAAGAGUUCUGGAUGCCCACACGUUCUGGUACAUUGAAGGGGUUAUGUUCAGGUGGUUACUGGCAAUGGUGGCGUCUUGGGGAUGGUUUGCAGGUUACACAGGUAAGACCAGCUUUUUCCUCUAUUUCACUCUUAAAAGUUAAUGUUCC